AACAUCUUCCCACCAUAAUUGUUAAAAGUAUAUUUGUAAAAAAAUAUUGCCUAAUUCAUGUUGAGAAAAUGAUGUGGAUCAUGAGGAAGCUAUACGUAUUAUUCUUCCAGGUCAUUACAAAGGGUCAUGUAAAGAUUUUAAAAAAAGAAUGAUCGAAAACCAUAUCACCAAAAAAAUACAAAAUCUAAACACAUUUUAACCCAAUUUUUAGCCCAACAUUGAACAACCCAUCAACCCAUUACUUCUCAAGAGAAACAUCAGCAAUUCAAACAUUCACAAACAAUAUAACAGACCCUCAACGUUCCAUCAACGUUCAAAUUCCCAAUUCCAUCCAUUCCCAAUUCAAAAUUGAAUUUCAAAUUCCCAAUUCCAUCUGUUCCCAAUUGAAAAUUGUUUUCACUUCACUGUUAAAGAGGGAUUUGGACCAUGAAUUCUUCAUCAACAAAUAGGGAUUGUUGGUUCUUCACGAGAGCUCAUCUUUUUCUUCAAGUUCGCUGUUUCGAUUUGCUGCACAAAAGGAGAGGGAUUUGGACCAUCAAAAAACACAGAAUUCUUCAUCGAGAAAUAGGGGUCUUGGAUAGCUAAAAGAGCAUUUCAAGUUUAAGAAUUUUUUAGAGUCUGGUGGUGAGAAGUCCUCAAGCUCGUUGUUUUGGUUUGCUGCACAAAAAGAGGAAGGACUGGACUUUGCAGCGUCCGGAUGAAGCUUUUGGCAACUCACCAAUGGCUAGUGCCUCAGUUGGUGGUUUAUAUUCCACGCCAAAUGUACAGUAUUUUUGGUCUUUUGAAUAAAUAAAGAAAGAAAAAGGGAAAAAUUGGGGAUAGAGUACAAGGAACUAGAACACACCCUCUUGUUACUGAAGAGGAAAGUAGCCUCUCUUGGGGAGGAGAGUUUAGAAUGCUGCACUUGUUGCAUCUUCCUUCUUUUCUUUAAAAAGGAAGAGUUACUUUAGCAUGAUAGGGAUACAUGUUUCCAUACAUGGCUUUUGAUCAGAUGACAAUUAAUUAUGAUACGGCUGAGUACUUCUUUUUUCAUCUUUUUGACAAAGAAGGAUAAACACUGAUAUAGAUGACCAUAGUUGUUUCAACUACAUGUUACCUCAUUUCGGAUACCAACUUAGAUAGAUAUUAAAAGAUAGACAGUACUUCAAUUCAUACUUGCACUUCUUCUAUAAGGUUCAUCAAAGUUUUUGAAGGACUAAGCAGUGAAUGAAGCCUUUCAUUUUCAUUUUUGGUUGAGGGUCAUGGAUUUGUGCUGAUGCAAUGUUCAAGUGAGAAAGAGGAUAUAUGAGGGCUCUGCAGCAACGCAAGUUUUAACCUGUUGUCCUUUUACAGUAAGCAGGGAACUAGUAACAAGUCUGAACAUAUAUCCAGAUGUUCACAAUAAGUUUUCAUACGCUUAUUUUCCUUUGCUUUCUGCUCGUUCUAAGCUGUUAACAGUUUAGCUAAAUCUGUCUUGUUUAGCUAAUUUUAUUCUUCUUAGGUUAUUUUAGAUAUAUUUAAUCGCAUGUUUUCUGGAAAUGUAAAUGUUUAAUCUUUGUGUCUAGUCAUCUUCCUGCUGUAGUGUAGUGAUAGUGAUUUGUGUAUGGGUUUAUUAAAAUGAAUGGAUCAUUGCUCAGCUUUAAGACUA